rnacentral:rRNA from 1 species
CUCCGAAGUUUCCCUCAGGAUAGCUGGAACUUAUGAAGAAGUAGUUUUAUCAGGUAAAGCGAAUGAUUAGAGGCUUUGGGGAAGAAACUUCCUCGACCUAUUCUCAAACUUUUAAAUAGGUAAGAUUUGAAGGAUACUUAAGUGAUCUUUCAAUCUUUUGAAUAUCAAGUUCUUAGUGGGCCAUUUUUGGUAAGCAGAACUGGCGAUGUGGGAUGAACCGAACGUUAAGUUAAAGUGCCAAAUAAUACGCUCAUGAGAUACCAUAAAAGGUGUUGGUUCAUUUUGACAGCAGGACGGUGGCCAUGGAAGUCGGAACCCGCUAAGGAGUGUGUAACAACUCACCUGCCGAAUGAACUAGCCCUGAAAAUGGAUGGCGCUUAAGCGUAUAACUUAUACUUAACCCUUACUUGAAUCAUCAUAGCGAGUAAGGAGUAGGAGGGC